rnacentral:rRNA from 1 species
AAACCAACAGGGAUUGCCUUAGUAACGGCGAGUGAAGCGGCAUAAGCUCAAAUUUGAAAUCUAGCGCGUUUGGCGUUCGAGUUGUAAUUUGAAGAAGCGUAUCUUGGGGACGGGUCUUUAUCUAUGUUCCUUGGAACAGGACGUCAUGGAGGGUGAGAAUCCCGUGUGAUUUUGACUGCGGUUUCUGUAUAAGAUUGUUUCGAAGAGUCGAGUUGUUUGGGAAUGCAGCUCUAAGUGGGUGGUAAAUUCCAUCUAAAGCUAAAUAUUGGCGAGAGACCGAUAGCGAACAAGUACAGUGAUGGAAAGAUGAAAAGACUUCUGAAGAGAGAGUGAAAAAGUACGUGAAAUUGCUGAAAGGGAAGGGCUUGAGGUCAGACUUGAAGUUUAUGUCUUGCUGUUCUUUAUGGGCAGUUAUAUUAAUGAAUUUUCGGGCCAAUAUCAGUUUUUGGGGCAGAGGACCUUUUGGAAUGUGGCUUUCUUCGGGAAGUGUUAUAGCCAUUGUGGAGAUCUGUUCUGGGGACUGAGGACUGCGCAAUUUAUUGCUAGGAUAUUGGCGUAAUGAC